UACAGAGGGUGCAAGCGUUGUUCGGAAUUAUUGGGCGUAAAGAGCGUGUAGGCGGCCAGGUAGGUCCGUUGUGAAAACUCGAGGCUCAACCUCGAGACGUCGGCGGAAACCCUCUGGCUAGAGUCCGGAAGAGGAGAGUGGAAUUCCUGGUGUAGCGGUGAAAUGCGCAGAUAUCAGGAAGAACACCCGUGGCGAAGGCGGCUCUCUGGGACGGUACUGACGCUGAGACGCGAAAGCGUGGGGAGCAAACAGG
rnacentral:rRNA from 1 species